GGCCGGCCAUGUGAUGAUGUUCCUCCACGAAGUCUAAUUAAAUAUAUAUUAUAAUGGUAAAUGACAAAAUAAUCUAAAUAGAAAAAUAGAUUAAUAAGAAAAAGAUGAAUAAAAGAGAAAUGGAAGGAGAGAGAAGUGUUCGUCUUCUUCUUGCAAAGCCGAACCUAAGUGAAGAAAGAAAGAAAAAUUGUUAAAAGCAUUCGGUCAAUUUAAGGGUUAAUCAAGCUCAAGAACUUAAAGGAGGGGAAUCAAGCAAGGGCAAAGCGAGGAGCAUCGAGUAGCCGAUUUGGAACCGUUUUAUCCAACACAAGAUUUCCUUGACCCAUUUUGCGUGCUUGGAAUCAUCGUCGAAGUCAUCACACCAGCUUGCAACAUUUUGGUACCCUCUUCUUAGUUGAUCUAAAUGAACAUUUUGACAUGUAUAGGCUAAUAUGUAUUUUGUUUGAACUUUGAUAUGUAUACUUCCAGCCAUGUGAAUAUGGCUUAAAUACUAAGUUUGAAUUUG